GGGGUGAGGCCAGAGGCAGUUGGACAGAGGAGCUCAGGCAGUUGUAACGCUGCUCCUUUUCAUUCUAAGGGAGAGUCUCCAGAAAGCAUCAGGAUUAUUCACAUCAGUGACUCUAAUAAUAACAAUUUGAACCUUAUAAAUCCUUUCUUCUCCGGAGCUCAGGAUACAGUCAAGUUUGUAAUAAAACACUCUCUCUCCACUCCACCCUAUGAUUUACAUACUCUAUGCAGUAUACACAGUUCCCAGUCGGCACGCUCCCUGGGUUUCGAGGCAGCAGAUCCUGCAAGUAGGACUCAUGUGAGCUACGCAGGCACCAGGGAAACACUGGACUGCUCUCCACGGCACCAGAAGCUGAGAAGUGAGAUCCUAUUUAAAAAGUGAAAUGCAAGCCACUGAGCGGGAGAAGACGCAUGGAACACACACCACCCAAGAACGGCUAUGUCCGUUUUGAUUCCCCCAAAAGCAGAGCCUGAGAAGAAGACCCAGGUACACUUUACAAACAUACAAGUUAACAACAUCGACUCCCACCCCCGGGAAGAAAGGUCUUAAAUGUAAUAGUUAAAAAUUAUGAAAUGCUUUCUAUCUGCUAAACUCUGGAGUAAGCAUUUUGUGUAUAUUAACUCAGUUAAGGCUUAAAAUAUGCCGAAGAAGUAGGUUCCUUUAGAGUUCCCAUUGAGGAGGAAGCUGAGUUACAGAAUAAUGUCCUAAAGCUACUAAAUAUUGUUCCUGAAGGCGGAGAUUUUGUCUUUUUUGUUUACCGCUACAUUCCCAGUGCCUAGAGAAGUGCCUCUUAACUGAGUCAAGUGGCAAAGACGGGGUGCAAACCCAUGCGGGCUCUGGCAAAGGCUGCCUUCUCCACCGUGGUACAAGACACCUUAUACAUUUUCUCAUCAAUUUCAAAUCGCCUAUUCGGGCCCAGGCUGUGAGAAUAAAGAUAAUAAAAGUACAGGAAAAUGAAAAUUA
rnacentral:lncRNA from 1 species